UACGUAGGGGGCAAGCGUUGUCCGGAUUUAUUGGGCGUAAAGAGCGUGUAGGCGGCUUUGCAAGUCCGUUGUGAAAACUCGAGGCUCAACCUCGAGACGCCGGUGGAAACUGCAAAGCUAGAGUCCGGAAGAGGAGAGUGGAAUUCCUGGUGUAGCGGUGAAAUGCGCAGAUAUCAGGAGGAACACCGGUGGCGAAGGCGGAUCUCUGGGCCUUACCUGACGCUGAGGCGCGAAAGCUAGGGGAGCGAACAGG
rnacentral:rRNA from 1 species